rnacentral:rRNA from 1 species
AUUACCGAGUUUACAACUCCCAAACCCCUGUGAACAUACCUUAAUGUUGCCUCGGCGGAUCAGCCCGCGCCCCGUAAAACGGGACGGCCCGCCAGAGGACCCAAACUCUAAUGUUUCUUAUUGUAACUUCUGAGUAAAACAAACAAAUAAAUCAAAACUUUCAACAACGGAUCUCUUGGUUCUGGCAUCGAUGAAGAACGCAGCAAAAUGCGAUAAGUAAUGUGAAUUGCAGAAUUCAGUGAAUCAUCGAAUCUUUGAACGCACAUUGCGCCCGCUGGUAUUCCGGCGGGCAUGCCUGUUCGAGCGUCAUUUCAACCCUCAAGCCCCCGGGUUUGGUGUUGGGGAUCGGCUCUGCCUUCUGGCGGUGCCGCCCCCGAAAUACAUUGGCGGUCUCGCUGCAGCCUCCAUUGCGUAGUAGCUAACACCUCGCAACUGGAACGCGGCGCGGCCAUGCCGUAAAACCCCAACUUCUGAAUGUUGACCUCGGAUCAGGUAGGAAUACCCGCUGAACUUAAGCAUAUCAAUAA